rnacentral:rRNA from 1 species
GUCUGUGGCCAUACAGUCCUGAAUACGCUGAUCUCAGAAGCUAAGCAGGGUUGGGCCUGGUUAGCACUUGGAUGGGAGAUACUUGCUUUUUGGUUAUCCCCGUUC